rnacentral:rRNA from 1 species
UACGUAGGGUGCAAGCGUUGUCCGGAAUUAUUGGGCGUAAAGAGCUCGUAGGCGGUCUGUCGCGUCUGCUGUGAAAACUCAGGGCUUAACCCUGAGCUUGCAGUGGGUACGGGCAGACUAGAGUGCGGUAGGGGAGACUGGAAUUCCUGGUGUAGCGGUGAAAUGCGCAGAUAUCAGGAGGAACACCGGUGGCGAAGGCGGCAUCCUGGACCGAUACUGACGCUGAGGAGCGAAAGCCAGGGGAGCAAACGGG